GUGAGGAAUAUUGCGCAAUGGAGGCAACUCUGACGCAGCCAUGCCGCGUGCAGGAAGAAGGCGCUACGCGUUGUAAACUGCUUUUAACCGGGAAGAAACCCCAGGACGUGUCCUGGGUUGACGGUACCGGAGGAAUAAGCACCGGCUAACUUCGUGCCAGCAGCCGCGGUAAUACGAAGGGUGCAAGCGUUAUCCGGAUUCAUUGGGUUUAAAGGGUGCGUAGGCGGAGCCUUAAGUCAGUGGUGAAAUCCUGCAGCUUAACUGUAGACUUGCCAUUGAUACUGGCGCUCUUGAGUGCGCUUGAAGUGGGCGGAAUGUGCCGUGUAGCGGUGAAAUGCUUAGAUAUGGCACAGAACACCAAUUGCGAAGGCAGCUCACUAAGGCGAUACUGACGCUGAGGCACGAAAGCGUGGGGAUCGAACAGGAUUAGAAACCCUGGUAGUCC
rnacentral:rRNA from 1 species